AUGGUAGAAGCUUUAGCCCUCAAAUUUGGACUAACACUAGCGCAAAGGGCAGGGUGCAAUCGCCUAAUCAUCAACUCAGAUAAUCUAGAGGUGAUUGAGACCAUGCAGGAUGGAGGACAGUCAACGGGUGUGGCAACGGCAAUUUUCAAUGACUGCUUCCACUACGCAUGUGAUUUUAUCAUGACUAGAUUCGAACAUUGUAAUAGAGAGGCAAAUAGAGUAGCACAUGAACUUGCUAGAUUAGCUAGAUUUUCUUCAACUUCAGAUUGGUUCGAGGAGCCUAUCAAUGAAAUUGUACUCAUCCUCACAAACGAUGUAUUGGUUAUUUCUAAUGAAUAA
rnacentral:rRNA from 1 species